rnacentral:misc_RNA from 1 species
AAUUCUCAACUUCAGAACAUUAUUGUUUCUUGAAGCUUGGACUUUGGAGGCUUUGCCGGCCAGAAAUGUGGUCAGCUCCUCUUAAAUGCAUUAGCAGAACCUUCUUGUAAAAAGGAACUGGCUUCAGUUUGAUAAAUCCUAUCUAUGCUGUUGCCAAUUUAACCUUCUGUGUUCAGCUUCUAAUAGUCUUUUUAGACUGUCUCUAUUGAGGCAUACACCUUUAA